rnacentral:rRNA from 1 species
AUUGAACGCUGGCGGCAUGCUUUACACAUGCAAGUCGAACGGUAACAGGCCGCAAGGUGCUGACGAGUGGCGAACGGGUGAGUAAUGCAUCGGAACGUGCCCAGUCGUGGGGGAUAACUACUCGAAAGAGUAGCUAAUACCGCAUACGAUCUAUGGAUGAAAGCGGGGGACCGUAAGGCCUCGCGCGAUUGGAGCGGCCGAUGUCAGAUUAGGUAGUUGGUGGGGUAAAGGCUCACCAAGCCAACGAUCUGUAGCUGGUCUGAGAGGACAACCAGCCACACUGGGACUGAGACACGGCCCAGACUCCUACGGGAGGCAGCAGUGGGGAAUUUUGGACAAUGGGCGCAAGCCUGAUCCAGCAAUGCCGCGUGCAGGAAGAAGGCCUUCGGGUUGUAAACUGCUUUUGUACGGAACGAAACGGCUCUGGUUAAUACCCGGGGCUAAUGACGGUACCGUAAGAAUAAGCGCCGGCUAACUACGUG